CGCAGCCGCGGUAAUUCCAGCUCCAAUAGCGUAUAUUAAAGUUGUUGCAGUUAAAAAGCUCGUAGUUGAAUUUCGGGGUCAGCAAGUUGGUCGUGCCACUGGUAUGCACUGGCUUUGCUGAUUCCUCCUUCUUGAAGAACUGUAAUGCUAUUAAUUUAGUGUUGCAGGGAAACAGGACUGUUACUUUGAAAGAAUUAGAGUGUUUAAAGCAGGCUAACGCUUGAAUACAUUAGCAUGGAAUAAUGAAAUAGGACGUUUGAUCCUAUUUUGUUGGUUUCUAGGAUUGACGUAAUGAUUAAUAGGGAUAGUUGGGGGCAUUAGUAUUCAAUUGUCAGAGGUGAAAUUCUUGGAUUUAUUGAAGACUAACUACUGCGAAAGCAUUUGCCAAGGAUGUUUUCAUUAAUCAAGAACGAAAGUUAGGGGAUCGAAGACGAUCAGAUACCGUCGUAGUCUUAACCAUAAACUAUGCCGACUAGGGAUCGGAUGAUGUUAAUUUUUAAUGACUCAUUC
rnacentral:rRNA from 1 species